CCAGUGACUGCGCAGGCGCGGCAUGCUGGAGUAGCCCUUUGACACUCACCGUUUUCCUCCUCGGGUUGCUCUCCGGGCUCAGCUGAGGAUGCUUCGGGCCGCGUUUGAUGAGUCUAAGGCUCAGGGAGGUUAGGGUCUUGCCAGAGGUCACACUGGCAGUGGCAGAGCCGGCCACUAUAUGCGCAAGGGAAAAGGGAAGAACACCUCCACAGGACAUCAUACUGCAAGAAGAAAGUGCACAGCUGGCCAGUUCAUGGUUCCAGUCUUCAGCUUCAACUUUCAGGACCCGCCUCUACAACAUAAUGAAGCCUUCCCAGGGACUUCCCUGGUGGCACAGUUGUUAAGAAUCUGCCUGCCAAUGCAGGGGACACGGGUUUGAUCCCUGAUCUGGGAAGAUCCCACAUACUGUGGAACAACUAAGCCUGUGUGCCACAACUACUGAGUCUGUGCUCUAGAGCCCCUGAGCCAUAACUACUGAGCCCGCGUGCCAUGACUACUGAAGCCCGCGCACCUACAGCCUGUGCUACGCAGCAAGAGAAGCCACUGCAAUGAGAAGCCCGCGCACCACAACGAAGAGUAGCCCCUGCUCGCCGCAACUAGAGAAAGCCCGCGUGCAGCAAUGAAGACCCAACGUAACCAAAAAUAAAUAAAUUAAUUAAUUAAUUUAAAAAUAAAUAAAGAAUGAAGUCUUCCCUUGAAUGGCAGCCCCACUGCUAAGUCAUCACCUUGCUGUAAAACCUACCCCUCCAGUUCCUGGGACUUUGCCUAUUU